UGCUAGAAGUAGCAAGCUUGGGGCUAAAACAAGUAGUUUGCAAUCUGAGGGGUGCUUGCGGAUCGGUCACUUUUUAAGUAAAGCAGGUCAAUAGUGGGGUCGCGAGGCACGAGACGGGACUCGAACCUGGUCUCCACCCGAGCCGAACCCUAUGCACGCCACAUACCACCACCCGACCGUCAGCGCUUUUGUGUGAACCACUAAUGCGUUACUAAUGACAAGAUCAGUUGUUUCUUGAUGCCUUGAUGAACCACUAAUGCGUGUGGUGAAGUAGUUACCAUUCACAAAGCUAGCGAGUUGGAAACAAGGUUGACCACUUCAUCAAAGUUGAACCAACUAGCCAUUUUUACAUGGUGAACUCGGUAACCCGGGCGAUCAAAUGGCUGCGCUAUGGUCAACUCGGUAACCCGGACGAUUAACAAGCACCUUUCCUCAAAGUCCACCAAGUUUUUUCAAACUUUGCUAUAUCCUUAGUGUAACCGUAUUAACUUGUACAUCAUGUUUUAAAUGUGGUGUAUUUGUUUGAAUGACAAAUCUUUUGUUUUAUUGUAAGUUUUAUUAUUUUAGAAAUAUACCAAUACGGGUAUACGAC